rnacentral:lncRNA from 1 species
UGAAGACAUUAGGCCCUUUCAUAAAACCUCUAUGGGAUGUGACGUUUUGAUAUAUCUUGGUGGAUUUCUAGAAGUCUCUACAUCUACAUGAGCUCUGCUAGGUUUUUAGGACACUUUGUGAAAUUCCUUACCUUUCGUUUCUUAAAACCUUGAGCCUUGGCCCCAUUACAACCCUAAAUAAGACCUUCUUGAUCCUUAAGAUGGGACAGCCUUUUAUUUGUGGAGAUGAGUUACAAGAGUUGAACCUAUGGCUUGGGUCCAUCCGUGCAAGUAAUUGAUAUCCUUCAUGAGAUCUUUUCAAAAAAAAUUAUAUUCACAAAGUGCUUUUCGUUUCUUAUAUAUGUGAGCUAUUUGAUUGCCUCAAAAUAUUUUCUCUCACAUAUAAUUGAGUGAUUAUAAGCUUUUAAGCAUUGUCUUGAAUUCUGAGAGAAGAAAGAGUGGAUAUACCUUGUGAGGAUAUGAAUCAUACUUGUUCGAAGCAUGCUUAACAGAAACCAUCACCAUUAUUACAACCAAGUCCUACUUGUGUAUGUGAGAUUUCUGAGACAAAAAGUUGAAGGGCAAUAGAGUCAUUGUUUUUGUAGAGUCUUUAAUUUUCGUUGAGUCUUAGUGUGUGUCUUAGUGUGAUUUUGCUAAGGGACUAGCAAAAGCUAAGUGUGGGGGAAUUUGAUAGGAGCAUUUUAAUGCGACGUUUUAACUGCAUUUCCCUACAUUUCUUACGUUAUUUCCUUAUUAAAAUCCUGUUUAGGAAAGUUUCCAUUCUUUGAUUGGGAAAGUUCCUAUUUGUAGAAAGUUUAUAUUUUUGUAGUUUCUAUUUAUCAUUUUUAGUAAGUUGCCAUUUUUCAUUUUAGGAAAGUUUCUAUUUUUCUUA